GAUGAACGCUGGCGGCGUGCCUAAUACAUGCAAGUCGAGCGAACGGACGAGAAGCUUGCUUCUCUGAUGUUAGCGGCGGUCGGGUGAGUAACACGUGGAUAACCUACCUAUAAGACUGGGAUAACUUCGGGAAACCGGAGCUAAUACCGGAUAAUAUUUUGAACCGCAUGGUUCAAAAGUGAAAGACGGUCUUGCUGUCACUUAUAGAUGGAUCCGCGCUGCAUUAGCUAGUUGGUAAGGUAACGGCUUACCAAGGCAACGAUGCAUAGCCGACCUGAGAGGGUGAUCGGCCACACUGGAACUGAGACACGGUCCAGACUCCUACGGGAGGCAGCAGUAGGGAAUCUUCCGCAAUGGGCGAAAGCCUGACGGAGCAACGCCGCGUGAGUGAUGAAGGUCUUCGGAUCGUAAAACUCUGUUAUUAGGGAAGAACAUAUGUGUAAGUAACUGUGCACAUCUUGACGGUACCUAAUCAGAAAGCCACGGCUAACUACGUG
rnacentral:rRNA from 1 species